GCUUUCUGGGGUACAUAUGGCCUAUCACCUGGACCACUAGGUCUCAGGAUUGACAAGAAUGACAAGUUGGGCUUGGCCUAUUUAUUUCUACAGCAGCCUGAAAGGAAUGUGUCCAAUUGAGGAUACCUGAGGACACCUAGUCUCCCUCAGCUUCGGACUCCCACCCAGAGGGGAGAGUUUCCAGUCAGCAUUUCAGUGGUGAAUACAGAAGAAAAAUUAGUGCAGAUCAAGUAACAUGGAGAGAAAAAAAGAGACAGCACU